rnacentral:lncRNA from 1 species
GUGGGAUGUGGGUGGAGGAACCCACUAUGGGAGCUGCUCCUGCAGCUCUUGUCCCAGAGAGGAAAACACAAAAGCAGCCUAAUGCCACCUGUAGCCAUGAAACGAUGGGAAAGAAGAGAACCACAGUCAGCUUCUGCAGCUGUGACCAGGAGUAGUUCUGGAGGAAAUGAAAAGCUGGUACCUGUUGGGCGAGCUGUUGGGGUGAGAAACUGCGUCCGAAGAGUCCUGGGUGGAACAAACUGCGUCAUGAGCAGGGGGACAGUGUCUGCAUCCCCCUUCUGCAGCCUGGAGGAGUCAGGGAUUGCCUCAGCAAUGAUUUAUCACUUGGGGACACGGCACAGACCAGGCACGGUCAGACUGUGCUGGGCCCACCUCCUCCUGCUGCUGAAUGCAGGAUGAGAGGCAGGGGCGCUCAGGAACAGCAGCCCAGGAGUCAGCUAACAGGAACUGAUGGAAUAACUUGUCAGAGCUAAGACGACCAGCAUCCUUGACUAAAAAAAACCCCUUUGUCAGUAGAUAAAGAAAAUACACAACAUUGGAUGGAUCUUCUUACUGUUUGGCUCAAGAGUCCACUGUCACACUUGAGAGGAAGCCAGCACAACAAACAUCUGCCAUUUCUGUGCUGCUGCUCUUGUAGGGUCUCACACAACGUCCUGUUAUCCCUUUCAGCAGACUUGGCUGAGCAUUUCAGACCAUCUUAAAUUCCGUUUUAUUUUGAAGGAUUAAAGCAAGUCAGAACUUCAGUUCACGAUGCGCAGGAAUUUUAGGGGACUGUGAAAUAAGAUAUGUGUAAGGAGGCUUUUUGUAAUACACCAGAGAAAAA